rnacentral:rRNA from 1 species
UCCCCUAGUAACUGCGAGUGAAGCGGGAAAAGCUCAAAUUUAAAAUCUGGCGGUCUUGGGCCGUCCGAGUUGUAAUCUAGAGAAGUGUUAUCCGCGCUGGACCGUGUACAAGUCUCCUGGAAUGGAGCGUCAUAGAGGGUGAGAAUCCCGUCUUUGACACGGACUACCAGGGCUUUGUGAUGCGCUCUCAAAGAGUCGAGUUGUUUGGGAAUGCAGCUCAAAAUGGGUGGUAAAUUCCAUCUAAAGCUAAAUAUUGGCGAGAGACCGAUAGCGAACAAGUACCGUGAGGGAAAGAUGAAAAGAACUUUGGAAAGAGAGUUAAACAGUACGUGAAAUUGCUGAAAGGGAAACGCUUGAAGUCAGUCGCGUUGACCAGGGAUCAACCUUGCUUUUGCUUGGUGUACUUCCUGAUUGACGGGUCAGCAUCAAUUUUGACCGUUGGAAAAAGUGCAAGGGAAUGUGGCAUCCUUUUGGAUGUGUUAUAGACUUUGUUCGUAUACAACGGUUGGGAUUGAGGAAUUCAGCACGCCGCAAGGCCGGGUUUUUAACCACGUUCGUGCUUAGGAUGCUGGCAUAAUGGCUUUAAUCGACCCGUCUUGAAACACGGACCAAGGAGUCUAACAUGCCUGCGAGUGUUUGGGUGGAAAACCCGAGCGCGCAAUGAAAGUGAAAGUUGAGAUCCCUGUCGCGGGGAGCAUCGACGCCCGGACCAGACCUUUUGUGACGGAUCCGCGGUAGAGCAUGUAUGUUGGGACCCGAAAGAUGGUGAACUAUGCCUGAAUAGGGUGAAGCCAGAGGAAACUCUGGUGGAGGCUCGUAGCGAUUC